rnacentral:sRNA from 1 species
CACCGCCUGGGGAGUACGACCGCAAGGUUAAAACUCAAAUGAAUUGACGGGGACCCGCACAAGUAGUGGAGCAUGUGGUUUAAUUCGAAGAUACGCGCAGAACCUUACCAACACUUGACAUGUUCGUCGCGACUUUAAGAGAUUAAAGUUUUCGGUUCGGCCGGACGAAACACAGGUGCUGCAUGGCUGUCGUCAGCUCGUGUCGUGAGAUGUUGGGUUAAGUCCCGCAACGAGCGCAACCCUCACUUUUAGUUGCCAUCAUUAAGUUGGGCACUCUGAAAGAACUGCCAGUGAUAAGCUGGAGGAAGGUGGGGAUGACGUCAAGUCCUCAUGGCCCUUACGUGUUGGGCUACACACGUGCUACAAUGGUAUCCACAACAGGAAGCAAAACAGCGAUGUUAAGCAAAUCCUUAAAAGAUACCUCAGUUCGGAUUGCACUCUGCAACUCGAGUGCAUGAAGCUGGAAUUACUAGUAAUCGUGGAUCAGCGUGCCACGGUGAAUGCGUUCCCGGGUCUUGUACACACCGCCCGUCACACCAUGGGAGUUGGUUCUACCUUAAGGCAAGGUUUUAAACCCUUGACCACGGUAUAGUCAGCGACUGGGGUGAAGUCGUAACAAGGUAGCCGUAGGGGAACCUGCGGCUGGAUUACCUCCUUUCUAAGGAUGAGUGAAAUUAAUAUUUCAUUCUAAAUAAUAUACACAGGUAAUGUUGACCGUCCUCAUUUCUCUUCUUAAAAUUAGUGUUUCUCUUGCAUGGGGGCCGGUAGCUCAGUUGGUUAGAGCACACCCUUGAUAAGGGUGGGGUCGAAAGUUCGAGUCUUUCUCGGCCCACCAAUUUAAGAUCAUGGGGGAUUAGCUCAGCUGGGAGAGCGCCUGAUUUGCAUUCAGGAGGUCAGCGGUUCGAUCCCGCUAUCCUCCACCAAUUAACACUUAGUUAUAAAAACAGUAAAUAAAAUAAUAAUUAAUAUCAAUAUCUAUAUCCGAACAUUAGUAAUGUUAUUAGCUAAUGUUCAAAAUAAAAAUUUGAUUCAACACAGAAUUUUUUUCUG